UAGGGAAUCUUGGACAAUGGGCGAAAGCCUGAUCCAGCCAUGCCGCGUGAGUGAUGAAGGCCUUAGGGUUGUAAAGCUCUUUCGCCAGGGAAGAUAAUGACGGUACCUGGAUAAGAAGCCCCGGCAAACUUCGUGCCAGCAGCCGCGGUAAUACGAAGGGGGCUAGCGUUGUUCGGAAUUACUGGGCGUAAAGCGCACGUAGGCGGCUUUCCAAGUUGGAGUGAAAUCCCCGGGCUUAACUCGGGAACUGCCUCCAAAACUGGACGGCUCGAGUCCGAGAGAGGUGAGUGGAAUUUCCAGUGUAGAGGUGAAAUUCGUAGAUAUUGGAAAGAACACCAGUGGCGAAGGCGGCUCACUGGCUCGGUACUGACGCUGAGGUGCGACAGCGUGGGGAGCAAACAGGAUUAGAUACCCUGGUAGUCCACGCCGUAAACGAUGGGUGCUAGUUGUCAGGCAGCUUGUGUUUGGUGACGCAGCUAACGCUUAAGCACCCCGCCUGGGGAGUACGGUCGCAAGAUUAAAAGCUUAAAGGAAUUGACGGGGUCAUAGCUGUUUCC
rnacentral:rRNA from 1 species